rnacentral:rRNA from 1 species
GACGAACGCUGGCGGCGUGCCUAAUACAUGCAAGUCGAGCGAAUCUUUAGGAGCUUGCUCCUAAAGGUUAGCGGCGGACGGGUGAGUAACACGUGGGCAACCUGCCUAUAAGACUGGGAUAACUUCGGGAAACCGGAGCUAAUACCGGAUAAUUCCUUUCCUCUCAUGAGGAAAGUCUGAAAGACGGUUUCGGCUGUCACUUAUAGUUGGGCCCGCGGCGCAUUAGCUAGUUGGUGAGGUAACGGCUACCCAAGGCAGCGAUGCGUAGCCGACCUGAGAGGGUGAUCGGCCACACUGGGACUGAGACACGGCCCAGACUCCUACGGGAGGCAGCAGUAGGGAAUCUUCCGCAAUGGACGAAAGUCUGAGGGAGCAACGCCGCGUGAGUGAUGAAGGUUUUCGGAUCGUAAAACUCUGUUGUUAGGGAAGAACAAGUACGGGAGUAACUGCUCGUACCUUGACGGUACCUAACCAGAAAGCCACGGCUAACUACGUGCCAGCAGCCGCCGUAACAC